GAUGAACGCUGGCGGCGUGCCUAACACAUGCAAGUCGAACGGAGAUUACGGACGGAAGUUUUCGGAUGGAAGACUGUAAUUCUUAGUGGCGGACGGGUGAGUAACGCGUGGGCAACCUGCCCUAUACAGGGGGAUAGCAGCUGGAAACGGCUGGUAAGACCGCAUAAGUCGGUUAAAUCGCAUGAUUUGAUCGGGAAAUGAGCAAUCAGGUAUAGGAUGGGCCCGCGUCCGAUUAGCCAGUUGGCAGGGUAAAAGCCUACCAAAGCGACGAUCGGUAGCCGGACUGAGAGGUCGGACGGCCACAUUGGGACUGAGACACGGCCCAAACUCCUACGGGAGGCAGCAGUGGGGGAUAUUGCACAAUGGAGGAAACUCUGAUGCAGCGACGCCGCGUGAGUGAAGAAGUAUUUCGGUAUGUAAAGCUCUAUCAGCAGGGAAGAUGAUGACGGUACCUGACUAAGAAGCCCCGGCUAACUACGUG
rnacentral:rRNA from 1 species